rnacentral:rRNA from 1 species
UACGUAGGGGGCGAGCGUUGUCCGGAGUUAUUGGGCGUAAAGCGCGCGCAGGCGGUGCGGUAAGUCUCUGGUGAAAGCGCUCGGCUUAACUGGGCGAGGGCCGGGGAGACUGCCACGCUGGAGGGGAGCAGAGGCGAGUGGAAUUCCGGGUGUAGUGGUGAAAUGCGUAGAGAUCCGGAGGAACACCAGUGGCGAAGGCGGCUCGCUGGGCUCUACCUGACGCUGAGGCGCGAAAGCGUGGGGAGCGAACCGG